rnacentral:rRNA from 1 species
AUUGAACGCUGGCGGCAUGCCUAACACAUGCAAGUCGAACGGCAGCACAGCAGUAGCAAUACUGUGGGUGGCGAGUGGCGGACGGGUGAGGAAUACGUCGGAAUCUGCCCAGUCGUGGGGGAUAACUAGCCGAAGGUUAGCUAAUACCGCAUACGACCGAGAGGUGAAAGCGGGGGACCGCAAGGCCUCGCGCGAUUGGAUGAGCCGACGUCGGAUUAGCUAGUUGGCGGGGUAAAGGCCCACCAAGGCGACGAUCCGUAGCUGGUCUGAGAAGAUGAUCAGCCACACUGGAACUGAGACACGGUCCAGACUCCUACGGGAGGCAGCAGUGGGGAAUAUUGGACAAUGGGCGCAAGCCUGAUCCAGCAAUGCCGCGUGUGUGAAGAAGGCC